AUUGGUUCUGGUCUGUAUGAGACCCAUGCACUAACUGUUCUCCAGGUUGCUGAUGUUCUACAAAUGUGUUUCGUCAUGUAUGAAACAUCCUCUUUCAUGUUUGAUGUGAUAAUUGUAGAAAUGUGAUCAUUAUACAGUAAUAAUUCUCAUCUCUUUAUUGUAUGAAGCUUCAUUUAGGAGGCAUCACUUCUGAGACUGAUAAUGUGUCAAAGUGUCUGCUUUCAGAAUGACAUCUGUGUUUAUGAAGCUCAGUUACUGUAUCUGACUCUGGCUCCUUCUUCACACAUGUCUUCCCCGUUUUCACCUGUUUGUUUGGUAGUUUACAGUUUUAGGUUAAGAAAUAAUGUAUGAAAUCAUCAGGUAAUAUAUAUGUUUCUGUUACCAACACUGUUGCAAUAGAAAACACACGAUUCAUGUGUAAAGAGGAAGUGAAGAGUUGUUGUAUUCAACUUAAUUCAAUUUUCAAUUCAAUUGCGCCAAAUCAGAACAAAGUUAUCUCAAGGCACUUCACAAAGUAAGGUUUAAGAUCUUACACAACUAAACCCAACAGAUUCCACAUACAGCAAGCCUUUCUUAAAAACUGUCAAACACAACUAAAUAUGUGUUUACUGAUGUGAUACAUACGUUAUGACUUCCUUUCAUCCAUACUGCAUGGCAACAACACAACACGCACAGACACACAAAUAACAGAGAUUAUUCAUUGUAUUAUUAAGGUUCAUUAGUUUCAUGUUUGCAAAAAUUCACAUUUUUUCAUUUCUCAUUUCAUAGAAAAGUAACACAUUUGUGCAGCAGGAAGCGCAAACUUGUGGUCAGAGCUACAGUAUUUGAGUGAAUAGGAAGGAAGAACAGAACAGCUCUGAAUCAGGUGAUGAUCUGUAGCUUGUGUCUUGGUGUUUGCUGUCAUUCCUCUACAGCGACAGUGUCUGUGGAUGUGAAGAUGGAGCUGACUUUGCUCUGUGUACUGUCAUUAUUCUGUGAGUACGUCAGCAGCUCUGACUUUAUUUUACUGUUUGUACUGCAAAUUGCUUCCACUGUUGGACUAGCGCCGGGCAACCUGGCUGCUGAUGGGAAUUUCCCCGCUGUGGGACUAAUAAAGGCAUUCUUUAUUUAACAUGGUGGUUUUUAUAGACAUGGGAUGUGACCCAGCUUCAUUCACAGUAAAACUGGGAUGUUCUUCACAGUUUACUGUUAGUGUGGCUCAGAUUUAACAGGAAAUAAUUUAACAGUUUUUAAAUAACAGUAACUAAGUCUGAUAAAACACUACCUGGGUGAUAAAUGUCUUUAUUACUGUUUAUGUCUGAUCAUGUUUUCAUCUCCGUUUCAGUGCUAAAUACGAAAUGAUGCUGUUUCCUAUAGAGUCUCUGUGACCAAACAACCCAGCUGGACUCAGACGUUCAGUGGUGAGAGCAUCACUCUCACAUGUGAGAUCCAUGGAGGUGGAGACGCUCAGUGGGAGUAUGAAUGGAGAACAAGCAGCUCAAACCAACCUGCUGAUAAAACUGGUAAAGUGUUGAUGAUCAGAGCGGAUGUGUCUCACAGUGGAGACUACAGCUGCAUGGGCAGAAGAAACCAUGAGUCAACACAGUGGAGUGAUGUCAUCACACUGAGAGUAACAUCAGAAAAACCCAAAGCCAGACUGACAGCAGGUUCAUCAACCAUAUCAGUAGGAGGCAGCGUGACACUGAGCUGCUCUGUGGACGGUUCUGAUGGAUGGAAAUAUGAGUGGUACAGAUGGACGUCAAAUACAUGGACACCAGCAGCUGAUGGAGACAACAGAGAAAUCAGAGUCUCACAAGGCGGCGUCUACACGUGCAUAGGAAGCAGAGAACCAGCUUUCGACAUGGAAUACAGUGAAUAUGUCACCAUCAAGAUAACUUGUGAGUUUGUUUAUUGUGUUUGAUGGGCUUUUUUUAUGUGUUUUUUUUUUUUUUUUUAUUUAACAUACAUGUUUGUAUCAGAUUCUAAUUCUGUGUCUGUGAGUCUACAACUGGACUGGACUCAGGUGAUCAGAGGUCAGAUCACUGUUAGAUGUGAGAUCCAGGGAGGUGGAGACACUCAGUGGGUUUAUGACUGGGAAACAACCAGUGGACGAACAAUCACACAGAGAACAGAUACUAAUUACUGGACAGUGUCUGCGUUCAGCAGUGGAGGCUACAGGUGCAGAGGAACAAACAGACAGGACCCAUAUUCUUCAACACGGUGGAGUGUGUCACGAUCUGGGUUUUGUUUCUUGUUGUUUCCUUGUCUUAUUUUGGUUCCAGGUUCCAUUUCCGGUUUUAUUUUGGUAGCACUCCCGGUUUCUGUUUCUGUUCCUGCUUUACUUCCUGUUAUCAGUUCUGUUCUCCCUAGCUCAUUACCCACACCUGUCUGUAAUCAGUUAAUCACUCACCUGUGUAUUUAGUCAGCUCCUGUGUCCUUAGUUCCCUGCCAGAUUGUCGUGUUUCUUGUGAGUCCCCGAGUUUCUUGAGCGUUCCGAGUUUCAUUACUGUCCCGUGUUUCUUGUGAGUUUCGAGUUUCUUGUGUCUCCGAGUUUUCUGAGUUUCCCGAGUUUCAUUAGUGUCCUGAGUUUCCUCGUUCUAGUGUUUCGUGUUCCGUGACCGUCGCGUUUUGUUCCUGUUUUCCUUUGAACCGUAUACCUAUUGCCUGAUCCUCGGUUGUACCGCCAUCUGUUACCGAACCUGGACUAACUAACUGACCGUGGGUUUUGCCUGAUCCCUGCCUGUAUUUUUGCCGUGACCCUUUUGUGUAUGACCUGGACCGUCUGACCCUGCCGUGGAAAAUAAACCUCUGUUUGAUCAUAAUCCUGCUUCCGUGCUGUGCAUGUGGGUCCGCCGCCUGCCCGAGUCCUGACAGAGUGAAGCUGCUGCACUGACAGCAUCAGGUGCUGUGUUGACCUUUGACCCCAGCAGGUCCAGGUAUUUUACUGGAGAGUCUGUGACCUUCACAUGUAACAUGAAGGACGACAAACGCACUGACUGGGAAACCAGACUGAUCAAAGAUGGAGAAAUAGCUUCAUAUAGUGGAUACAAAAUAAAAGCUCUGUCUACAGGAGACAGUGGAAGAUACCAGUGUUUUAGUGUCCACAGGAAAACAAACCACAUAAAAACCAGUGGAACCAUUGAUUUAACUGUAUCAAGUGAGUCAUCGUUGACUUGAUGAGAGUUUUCCAGUUGUCAGUGUGUCUAUGGUCAGUUUGGUUUAAGGUUCAAACAAGGUGGUUGUGACUCUUCAUCCCAACUGGACUCGACUAGAUUGAGGACAGAGGAAACAGAGUGGGAAUAUGAAUGGAAAACACCACUCUUUCUUCUUUCUACCAACGUUUGCUGAAAGGAACAGUGUGGAUUUGUUCCUUAAAGUUCCACUUGUUGAUUGUUGUGUGUGUUAUUAAAUGUGUUGUUUUUCAGAUGUUGAUCCGUCAGCGUCUCUCACAGUGAGUCCUGACCCAACUAGGGUGUCACUGGUUUAAAUACCCCUGGGGCAGUGGUCACUGUGUCAUGAUCUGGGUUUUUGUUUCCUGUUAUGUUAAAGGACUUCCUGUUUUCACUUAAGUUGUCAUGUUUUGGUUCCCGUUUUCUGUUUUAUUUUGUAAGCACUUCCGUUUCUGCUCAUACCACAUCAUUUUCCGCUUUACUUCCGGUCCUCAUUACACACACCAGUCUGCUAUCAGUAAUCAGCCACCUGUAUUUAAGCACCAGUAAUCACCACAUCCAGUUGCCAGAUUGUUAUGUAUGCCAGUCAUCACAUUCCAGCAUUCCGUCAUCCAGCUUACCUUGAUCGUGAUCUUGUUUCCUGUUUCUGACUCCGAGAAAGCCUACUCCCCCUGUUCUGUCGCAUGAGAUUUACCGUGUAUGACCUGGACCGACUGUACCACGUUUUGGAAUUAAACCUUGUCUUGAUCAUCUA